UACGAAGGGGGCUAGCGUUGCUCGGAAUCACUGGGCGUAAAGCGCACGUAGGCGGCUUUUUAAGUCAGGGGUGAAAUCCUGGAGCUCAACUCCAGAACUGCCUUUGAUACUGAGAAGCUUGAGUCCGGGAGAGGUGAGUGGAACUGCGAGUGUAGAGGUGAAAUUCGUAGAUAUUCGCAAGAACACCAGUGGCGAAGGCAGCUCACUGGCCCGGUACUGACGCUGAGGUGCGAAAUCGUGGGGAGCAAACAGG
rnacentral:rRNA from 1 species